rnacentral:rRNA from 1 species
GGUCGUAUCAUGUUGUAACACCGGUUCCCGUACGAUCACCGAAGUUCAGCAACGUCGAGCCUGAUCAGUACCUAGACGAGUGACCGCUUGGGAAUACCAGAUGUUGUAAG